rnacentral:rRNA from 1 species
AUGAGUCCGGCGCCACCCUUCCCUCCCACCCCGAACGGCAACCCCGCGGAAUCGGAGGAGCGACAUGAUGUCGACCGCGGCGAUGGUGCAGGUCGGCGACGUGCCGGACCUGACGGUGCGGAACCACCUGGAGCAGGACACCCUCGAGUGGAUCUUCGUCGGUGGCAUGGGCGGCGUCGGCAAGACCAUCUGCAGCUCCAUCGUCUCCAUCUGCGUCUGCUAGUCCGUGUUCGUCAUCUCCAGCGACCCUGUUCUUCAUCCUCAGGGACGCCUUCCAGCAGUGCUUCACCAAGUUCUUCACCCUCGUCAAGGGCUUCUGCAACCUUUACGCCAAGAUUGCCAAGAAAAAAAAGAUGA